GAAAUGCGAUACGUAGUGUGAAUUGCAGAAUUCAGUGAAUCAUCGAAUCUGUGAACGCACAUUGCGCCCUUUGGUAUUCCAAAGGGCAUGCCUGUUCGAGCGUCAUUUGUACCCUCAAGCUUUGCUUGGUGUUGGGCGUUUUUUGUCUUUGGCUCGCCCAAAGACUCGCCUUAAAACGAUUGGCAGCCGGCCUACUGGUUUCGCAGCGCAGCACAUUUUUGCGCUUGCAAUCAGCAAAAGAGGACGGCAAUCCAUCAAGACUCCUUCUCACGUUUGACCUCGGAUCAGGUAGGGAUACCCGCUGAACUUAAGC
rnacentral:misc_RNA from 1 species